rnacentral:rRNA from 1 species
UACGGGGGGAGCAAGCGUUGUUCGGAUUUACUGGGCGUAAAGGGCUCGUAGGUGGCCAACUAAGUCAGACGUGAAAUCCCUCGGCUUAACCGGGGAACUGCGUCUGAUACUGGAUGGCUGGAGUUUGGGAGAGGGAUGCGGAAUUCCAGGUGUAGCGGUGAAAUGCGUAGAUAUCUGGAGGAACACCGGUGGCGAAGGCGGCAUCCUGGACCAAUACUGACACUGAGGAGCGAAAGCCAGGGGAGCAAACGGG